rnacentral:rRNA from 1 species
AGGACGAACGCUGGCGGCGUGCUUAACACAUGCAAGUCGAGCGGUAAGGCCUUUCGGGGUACACGAGCGGCGAACGGGUGAGUAACACGUGGGUGAUCUGCCCUGCACUCUGGGAUAAGCCUGGGAAACUGGGUCUAAUACCGGAUAUGACCUGCUCUCGCAUGGGGGUGGGUGGAAAGAUUUAUCGGUGCAGGAUGGGCCCGCGGCCUAUCAGCUUGUUGGUGGGGUAAUGGCCUACCAAGGCGACGACGGGUAGCCGACCUGAGAGGGUGACCGGCCACACUGGGACUGAGACACGGCCCAGACUCCUACGGGAGGCAGCAGUGGGAAUAUUGCACAAUGGGCGAAAGCCUGAUGCAGCGACGCCGCGUGAGGAUGAAGGCCUUCGGGUUGUAAACCUCUUUCAGCAGGACGAAGCGCAAGUGACGGUACCUGCAGAAGAAGCACCGGCUAACUACGUGCCAGCAGCCGAC